AGAAGGUCAUCUGAACGGGGUCACACAGGAGGCGGUUUCAAUCUGGCUCCUUUGGCUCUGCAUAGUCCCUUGUGAUUCAGCCGGGCUGCCUAUUUCUAGUUUAAUGUUGUUAUGGUUCAAGAUCAGAUGAUUUCUAUUCUUUUGGAUUUGCUGAGAUUCGUUCUACAGUCCAGAGGAUGCGCCGGUUGGAUGGCAGCAGUAAUGCAAUGGCCGUGAAUCUGCAAACUCCAGGAGGUGGCGAAGGACAGGGAGGCCUGGCGUGCUGCAGCCCCUGGGGCCGCAGAGAGCCGGACACUCCUGAGCGGCCCUCAGCCCCGUGAGUCUGGGGCUCCUGUAUUGCCUAGGUGCGCACGCCUUUGGAUUGUUAUGGCUGCACGUUUGUCAUUAUGCAGUGUUCCUCUUUAUCUCUGACA